rnacentral:rRNA from 1 species
UACGUAGGUGGCAAGCGUUGUCCGGAAUUACUGGGUGUAAAGGGCGUGUAGGCGGGAAGGCAAGUCAGAUGUGAAAUCCCAGGGCUUAACUCUGGAGCUGCAUCUGAAACUGUUUUUCUUGAGUACUGGAGAGGAGAAGGGAAUUCCUAGUGUAGCGGUGAAAUGCGUAGAGAUUAGGAAGAACACCAGUGGCGAAGGCGCUUCUCUGGACUGUAACUGACGCUGAGGCUCGAAAGCGUGGGGAGCAAACAGGAUUAGAUACCCGUGUA